GUGUGUGUGUGUGUGUGUGUGUGUGUGUGUGUGUGUGUGUGUGUGUUUUGGGUCCCCCAGUGGGUCAGGUGGCCUUGACCACUGCGCAGCUGAAACUCAGAACUCAGACACACACACACUCACAAACACGCCAAUGUCAUGCACAGGGGUCCCAUGUGUCCAUAUGUUGUGCUGAGACCAGUUAUUAAACCUGCAGCUGAGAAUGACAA